rnacentral:rRNA from 1 species
GCUCCCCACCCGUGCUUAACUUUCUAUAAGGACAAUUGAAUGGCCGCGGUAACUCUGACCGUGAUAAUGUAGCGAAAUCACUAGCCAGUUAAUUGCUGGCCUGUAUGAAUGGCUAAACGAGGGCUCCACUGUCUCAAUAAUAAACCUAGUGAAAUUGAGAUGGCGGCGAAGACGCCGCCUAUGAAUUCUAAGACGAGAAGACCCCAUUGAGCUUUACUAUUAACUUGUAUUGUCAGAGCAAAGGGGAGGGGGACCCUACGGGUCUAGGGAAUACCCCGGAUCCGUUUUGCCCCCUGUCCCUAGCUUCAUAAUAAAAUUGUGGAGACUAUGUGGCAAAAGAAAAACAAGGGAUUUAAAAGAACGGGGGGGGGGAGGACCCUUAGGGGUCCCCNCCCCGGGAUCCGAAGGGUCCGCCACGCCCCGUCCCGAUUUAUAUGAAAAACCACUCUUUUUAUUAAGAUUACUGUCUAACACCGUACAAGUAAGAUAGUUUGGUUGGGGCGACCGCCUUCGAAAAAGUAUCGAAGGCGCACAUAAGAUUAAUCAGGAGAAGGAUCCGAAGGAUCUUUUUCUCGGGAGUAAUGUCCCAAAAAAAGGAGAUUAAUUUGACUGAGAGGGCAACAACCCGAACAGACGUCAAAGGAUAGACCGGGGGGGGAAUCCUACAGAUUCCUUCCCCCCCUUCUUUUGGCGGGUCAUAGUGAUCCGUUGUUAUAUUGUGGGAUUGACAACGAUCAACGAAGAAAAGUUACCAUAGGGAUAACA